rnacentral:lncRNA from 1 species
UGCAGUCAUUCAUGUGUGCUGUUGCUGAAUCCCGACGGAGUUCAAUGUAAGCAUACAGUACCUGCACAGCCCCCAAUCGCAGAUGCUCGUUUACACUAAAGUCCCUUCAUCAGCUUACGCAGCAGUAGUAGUAGUACGGAGGGGCUUUAGUUCACAUAUUCAGCUACAUCGACAAUCCUUAAAAACCCACCCUCGAAUGCUGACAUCGUUGUGCUUGUUUCUUCACCUGCGAGCACGUCCUGACACAGAAGUGCAUACUCGGAGAUCGAGUGACAUGUUUAGGCAAAGCUCACACCUACACCACCGAGCUAACUGUAUUGCACAUUCGUGCAGCCCACUGAGUGAAACAUUUAACACUGGUGUUCUUGCAGACACGGAACCAUAUGCAAUUGUAAAACAAGAGACCUUUGCACAGCAACACCAAGGCAGAACACGUCUACUGUGGGGCAACCACAAAUAUCAUGACCAGCGCCGAGGCACUGAAGUGCCACAUCGUAGCCGAGCUUUGGUGCAUACACCCUACAUGUUAGAAGACGAUGCACAUACAAAAACGUCAAUCUUCUCAAAGCUUCGCAAGGAUCCGGUAUUCAAAAGAGAAUAUAUUGAAUUAUAAAUGACUUAAUUUAGGGGUUUGAAGUGUUAAAACCACAAUCUGAUUACAAGGCACACCGUAGUGGGAGACUUCGGAUUCAAUUUGACCACCUGGAGAUUUUAACAGCACCCAAAAGGAUGACACACAAGCGUUUUUCCAUUUCGCCUUAAACCAGUGGCCUUGUGCUAAGCCACACUGAGCCAUCGUGACAGAUUAAAUAAGCAGUAAAAAGGUGAAAUGAAAGCAAGUAGUUCAAAUACACGCCUAAAUGAUAAAUGCCUAUUGAUGCAACUUUCAUUUUUAAGCUGUCCAAACCUUAUCUUUCCUUACAUUUUUUUUUCUAUGAAAAUGAGGUCCUCAGCAUUGACAACAUGUGCUUAGAUGUAAAGCUUAAUUUCCAUUUUUGCUAACCCUUCAAAAAAUUUAAAGGACCCCAAACCCACUUCCCUUGCUAUUACAACUAAACACCCUCAUUUUUGAACACUUUUCAUUUCCAUCAUCCUAUGCUAUGCACCAACUUAUUGGAUUUUGCAAUUGUGGUUGUGGAAGAAGUUGCAAGAAGGAAAGCAGUUUGACGGCUGUGCGAGCGGCCGAAGACAAGUUCCACUGUCAAAAUGUUGGCUCGAGAGACAUCAAGAGACUACUCUUGAUCACUUCACGUGAAUUGAAGAGAGAGAGAUGUUCGGUGGGGAAAAGAGGGGCACUAUUUUCUUGGUCCCAUGUGGGAGCAAAGAAAGAAGCUGCCGAAAAAAGCGAGAUGCAGCUAGAGCAACUGAAGCGGAGAGGUUGGGCUUGCACACACGCAUGCCCACGAAUUCGCCUUGAUCUGGGCUUGUCUUUCGGAAUAUGCCCAUUUAGCUGGCAAAACAACAGACGUGUGAGUAGUGCCAAGAUUUGUACAUGCCUAACAUGCCAGAUAUUGGCAUACGUCCCUGGGAGGUUGGGGGAGGUGGGGGCAAGUUGUGUGUUCCCUUGAAAUGCCUCCACACUGGCCCAUGAAAAAAGAUUGGGACCAUGCACAUCUCACUAUCCAUAAUAGCCCAUGGGCACAAUAACCUAUCCUACCAGCUAGCUGGCAUGCACUCAUGGUGUAUCUUGCAAAUGUCCGGAGCGGAGGAGUAAAUAUCGCUAGAGUGUACUAGAAUAAGAUUGAGUGGGAUGAGUGGCCAGUACGGCUCAUGCUUUGUAGUGAAGUGCCAGACAACAAAAAUACUGUGGCAGCACUGUGAUCAAACUGAAUUGGGCUGCAUCAAGGUUGCACCGUUAAAAACCGCUGGUGAUACUGCUCGGCGGGGUCGGUCAUACUACAGUGUAGACCGCUUUUAACGUAAGUCGCUGGAGUCGCGAAUAUCCGCACUAUAAGCGGUACCGCACUAUAACCAAAGCAACAAU